ensembl:lncRNA
GACUGACAGUAGCCAUGUUUUUACCUUACAGGAGGUCCAUAUGGAGCCGCGUCUCCCGGUAAGAACGCUCAAAAGCUAACGUUGACUUUUAUUCUCAUUUGAAGCACAUUAUGUUUACAACUUGGCCCUCUGCAGCAGAGCAGAGGAGAUGCGCUUCGGUUGGAGUGACACACCGAGGCAGUCAUUCUGGAGCAGAUUUUCAAGACGCCAGGACAACACUUCAAACCUCAGUGUUGCUUAUUUCAACAACACCAGCAGUGGGGACUCUGACAUUCGUAUCUCUAAUCCACCCUUUCUACCCCCAAAGAGUAACCGCAGAUGAGGAGAUUUGUUGCAGGAUUUUCAAAGAAGAAGCAACAUUGAAAUAUUUCAAGGACCCCUUAGAACAUCGUACCAACACAUUUUUGUAAUAGUUCUGUAAUGACAUAUUCACUGUUUGCUUAUAGCCAUAUAAUACAUUUUUUUGCAGCCUGAUUAACAUGCUUGUUAUAAAAUGGUCCAUUAGAUUGAGCCACACUGUUAAUGUUUCAUUCUUCUGACCUCUCAGUCAGCUGAAGUGAGUGGGUUGAUAUAAUUAUCAUGAAAUGUUCGUCCUUGUGUAACUAUUGUUAAGAUGUAUUUGUGCUCAUUUACUCCAGAAUGCAAC